rnacentral:hammerhead_ribozyme from 1 species
AUGCAUCUGAAGAGUCUCAAAUAGAACGGAACACGAGUCCUGAAU